rnacentral:rRNA from 1 species
CCUACGGGAGGCAGCAGUGGGGAAUCUUGCACAAUGGGCGAAAGCCUGAUGCACCCAUGCCGCGUGAAUGAUGAAGGCCUUAGGGUUGUAAAAUUCUUUCGUCAGGGAUGAUAAUGACCGUACCUGAAAAAGAAGCCCCGGCUAACUUCGUGCCAGCAGCCGCGGUAAUACGAAGGGGGCUAGCGUUGUUCGGAAUUACUGGGCGUAAAGCGCACGUAGGCGGAUUUUUAAGUCAGGUGUGAAAUCCCGGGGCUCAACCUCAGAACUGCAUUUGAAACUGGAAGUCUUGAGACCAGGAGAGGUUAGCGGAAUACCGAGUGUAGAGGUGAAAUUCGUAGAUAUUCGGUGGAACACCAGUGGCGAAGGCGGCUAACUGGACUGGUACUGACGCUGAGGUGCGAAAGCUAGGGUAGCAAACGGGAUUAGAUACCCCGGUAGUCCUAGCCGUAAACAAUGGGCACUGGGUAAAGGGGACACCUAUGGUCUUCUUUGCCGUAUCUAAUGUGUUAAGUGCCCCGCCUGGAGAGUACGCUCGCAAGGGUAAAACUCAAAGGAAUUGACGG